CUGGCAUGGGGAGGGUUGGAGUCAAGGGAUGGUGGGGUCAAGGCGAUUGCUUCAUAGUUGUAUUUUGUGAGCUUAUCAACUAGUCGCUGGUAGUGUUCAGCCCUAUGACAUGAGCCGGGCACGAUCACGAUGACGGGCUUGUUGGCCAUUAUCAAUAACUCUUCAGUAAGACAGUUUGAAGCAGAUGCUGGGGAUCCAAGGGACCUAGGAUUCCUCUAGAGAGGAGGAGAGGAAAGGUUCACGAAUGGAUAAACAGUCUGCCCACGAAGCUGAACCAUUUAUUUAUAUAUUUCAAACACUACCUACUACAAAGGCGGGCUCUUCUCCUGGCCAUGAUCGGGGAAUACAAGAUGUGCGUAUGUGCGCUUGGCGAGAAGGAACUUUCACAACAAAAAUCUGAUGAUUGGUUAUUUGUCAUCCCUGGUCUUCAGCUCGCAGUUUUACAUAAUGAUUUAGUGCUUAUGAGGUCCUGACAGCUAGUUAACUAACGGGAAGAAGGGUUUGAUUCGCCCUUGCGAUGUCGCUGGAAUUUCUUAGAAGCUGCAUGCUCAAUCAAGUUAUUGCAGUACAUGAACGUGCCGGAUAUAUUUUCGAAAUCUUUUUUUAAAGCAGCCGUUCAUAUAAAAAUCAAUCGUCAUCAAUUGGCAGGGCUCUAUAUGAAUUAUAUGCAACAUAAGGAAGUACUGUACAUGCCGACAGCGUGGCUGGAAGAAGGAGGGGGUGAAAAGCAAGCGAAAAAUCAAUGAACUCCAAUGUUCCAUGAAAAAUACCACUCCAAAAUACAACUGGGAAUAAAAAUAUCAAUAUCAUACCCUCGCAUAGCGCAGUGAAGGAAAUAAGGGGACAACUCUCAAAUGGUUAGAAGGGAAAGACAAAUUUGGAGAUGGAUCGUUUCCGAAGGGCAGGCUCCUGGAAAGCAACCAAUCCAAGUCACUUUACAGCACCAGCAUGUACAGACCCGCUUGUGUAACUAGCAAAGUUAUCUCCAGAAACAUGGCUCCGUACGCAGAUCCGUACAAACUAGCACCAGCAGAACGGUCAUUAUCCGCCUCUCUAGCUGCUCCGACAAGUUCACCAGAACUGCUUGUGGCAGUGCUAGUAGGGCUUGCCGUCACAACUACGAUGCUUGUUCGCGUUUGUCUUGCAGCUGGAGAGGUGGAUGCGGAGACGGAAGGAGAGGCAGACGGAGAAACAGACGGAGAGGCAGACGGAGAAACAGAUGGAGAGGCAGACUGGAAGGAAGAUGAUACAGUGGAGGCUGGUGUGAUUGUUGAUUGUUCUGUCAACAGCUGUGAGUCAGAGGUUGCCAGCGAAAGUAAAGGCGUAGAUAUAGUGGUAGGCGAUCCGGAAGUGAAGGCAAAUGCGGGGAACGACACUUCCACUGUGUCAUCUGCAGUUUUUGUGUUCGGAGACGAGGCAGUAGGCAAAACAGGUAUUAAUGCAGAAACAAAGGGGGAUGAAGAAAUGUCUUGUGG
rnacentral:sRNA from 2 species